ACGCUCGACACCUACGGGAGGCAGCAGUGGGGAAUAUUGCACAAUGGGGGAAACCCUGAUGCAGCGACGCCGCGUGAGCGAAGAAGUAUUUCGGUAUGUAAAGCUCUAUCAGCAGGGAAGAAACUGACGGUACCUGACUAAGAAGCACCGGCUAAAUACGUGCCACAGCCGCGGUAAUCUGAGGCGGCUGGCAAGGC
rnacentral:rRNA from 1 species